rnacentral:rRNA from 1 species
CGUCAGCUCGUGUCGUGAGAUGUUCGAUUAAGUCCGCUAACGAGCGCAACCCUCGUCGUGUGUUAUACGUGUCACACGAUACUGCCGGUAUCGAAGCCGGAGGAAGGUGGGGAUGAUGUCAAGUCAGCAUGGCCUUUAUAUCCUGGGCCUACACACACGCUACAAUGGCAGAUACAAUAGGUUGCGAAACCGCGAGGUGGAGCCAAUCCUCAAAGUCUGUCUCAGUUCAGAUUGUAGGCUGCAACUCGCCUGCAUGAAGUUGGAGUUGCUAGUAAACGCAGGUCAGCUAUACUGCGUUGAAUACGUUCCCGGGGUUU